AGCGGUAGAGUGGACAAUCCCUUCUGACACUCAAGCCAGGACUGAUACAGAAGGAAAACCUUUGGAACAGGAAAAGAAGAGCCUCUUUUGACAAAGCAAAGGAGGACCGAAGAGUUCCAUGCUCGAGGGCUGCGUCUGGGGCUUUCUGGCAUUAAAGGAGCUGAUGGUGAAUUUUCA